rnacentral:rRNA from 1 species
UGCCAGCAGCCGCGGUAAUACGAAGGGGGCUAGCGUUGUUCGGAAUCACUGGGCGUAAAGCGCGCGUAGGCGGGCUGGUCAGUUGGGGGUGAAAUCCCGAGGCUCAACCUCGGAACUGCCCUCAAUACUACCAGUCUCGAGUUCGGGAGAGGUGAGUGGAAUUCCGAGUGUAGGGGUGAAAUCCGUAGAUAUUCGGAGGAACACCAGUGGCGAAGGCGGCUUUCUGGACCGAUACUGACGCUGAGACGCGAAAGCGUGGGGAGCAAACAGGAUUAGAUA